GCGCACUACCUGUGUGGUCAGCAUGGAUGCCUUCCAAGCAUUCGACGGGGGUUCGAUUCCCCCCGAACGCA
rnacentral:tRNA from 1 species